UGCCACAUAGCCGAGUUGGCCACAGCGUUUGGCCAUUAUGGUCCUGCAUAUAGCACCGCUGCUUUAACAUCGGAAAGUCGAGAGUUCGAGCCUUUCAGUGGCAU